CCUACGGGGGGCAGCAGUGGGGAAUAUUGGACAAUGGGGGGAACCCUGAUCCAGCCAUGCCGCGUGUGUGAAGAAGGCCCUCGGGUUGUAAAGCACUUUCAGUGAGGAAGAACGCCUGGUGGUUAAUACCCAUCAGGAAAGACAUCACUCACAGAAGAAGCACCGGCUAACUCCGUGCCAGCAGCCGCGGUAAUACGGAGGGUGCGAGCGUUAAUCGGAAUUACUGGGCGUAAAGCGCGCGUAGGUGGCUUGAUAAGCCGGUUGUGAAAGCCCCGGGCUCAACCUGGGAACGACAUCCGGAACUGUCAAGCUAGAGUGCAGGAGAGGAAGGUAGAAUUCCCGGUGUAGCGGUGAAAUGCGUAGAGAUCGGGAGGAAUACCAGUGGCGAAGGCGGCCUUCUGGACUGACACUGACACUGAGGUGCGAAAGCGUGGGUAGCAAACAGGAUUAGAUACCCGUGUAGUC
rnacentral:rRNA from 1 species